rnacentral:rRNA from 1 species
CCUACGGGGUGCAGCAGUGGGGAAUAUUGCACAAUGGGGGGAACCCUGAUGCAGCGACGCCGCGUGGGUGAAGGAGUAUUUCGGUAUGUAAAGCCCUAUCAGCAGGGAAGAACAAUGACGGUACCUGACUACGACGCACCGGCUAAAUACGUGCCAGCAGCCGCGGUAAUACGUAUGGUGCAAGCGUUAUCCGGAUUUACUGGGUGUAAAGGGAGCGUAGACGGCAGUGCAAGUCCGGAGUGAAAGCCCGGGGCUCAACCCUGGGACUGCUCUGGAAACUGUAAAGCUGGAGUGCGGGAGGGGCAGGCGGAAUUCCUGGUGUAGCGGUGAAAUGCGUAGAUAUCAGGAGGAACACCGGCGGCGAAGGCGGCCUGCUGGACCGUAACUGACGUUGAGGCUCGAAAGCGUGGGGAGCAAACAGGAUUAGAUACCCCUGUAGUC